AGGGCUACCAGAAAGCAGCCCACCCCCACCCUCAUAAAAAAAAAAAAAAAUAAGCGAGUGUGGGGACGAGCCAGCCCCACGCCGGUCCGCCUCCCGCCCGCCGCCGGGCCUCCCUCCCGCCUGCCCGCCGCCUAGCUCGGAGAUCCUGCGCCCAGAGUUCUCCGUUCCCAGGAUCCCGGGCUCGCGGGGGUGCGGAGAAGAGGACCCAGGAAAGGCCAGCUGAUUCACUACUCAACUUGAUGUGGGUAACUUUGGGGAUCUCUGUGUACAAUCUGGGUCUGACCUCAGCUCUGACACGGGAUAGCUAUGUGAUUUCAGGCCCUGGGCAGGUGGACGCUCCUGAUAAUUUGUGAAAAUGUGGACCACUCUGCUCACACAGCAUCUCCUUUGAGUCUGAAGUUUUGACCCUCCCCAUUCCACUUUGGCUUUUGGAUCAAGAAAAUGGUCAAAGGAUGGCUAUGUUAAAGCCGCAGCGAGAAAACUGAGGCUCUGGGAAGCUAAGGAAUUUAUCCAGGGCCUCCCAACCAGUCAUGAAGCUGUUCCCAGGGACUUUGCGCUGCUGCUCUAUUAUUUCAAGUCAGGUCUUGAGACAAAAUGCACAUCCUGAAGUUCUCUCUUAGUGUUCUAAUGGGAACACGGUGGGCGGUGGGCAUCCCGCUUCCUAAGGAGCCAGGUCUGUGCUGCCCAAUACAGUAGUCACCAGCCACAUGAAGCUACUUAAACUUUCUGAGAUUAAAAAUCUAUAUCUUGGGGGCUGGAGAGAUAGCUCAGUGGUUAAGAGCACUGACUGCUCUUCUGGAGGUCCUGAGUUCAAUUCCCAGCAACGGCAGUGUCCCACAACCAUCUAUACUAGGAUCUGAUGUCCUCUUCGGGCAUGCAGGUGAACAUGCAGAUAGAGCAGUCCUCUACAUAAAAAAUUUAAAUAAAUAAAUAUAUCUUUAAAAACAUCUAUAUCUUGGGCUGAAGACAUGGCUCAUUGGUUAAGAGCGCUGGCUGCUCUUCCAGAGGACACAGGUUCAAUUCCCAGCACCCACAUGGUAGUUUGCAGCUAUCUGUGACUCCAGUUUCAAGGGACCCUGAGUGUGAUCACUUGUAAAGGGAUGCUUGACCUCAGAGUGUCUGGAAGUGUCUGUGCAAAGGCCCUGGUUAAACACUCCAGAACCUUAGCUAUGGUCAUUACCUUGCUGUAGAUGACUUCUGUGUCACUGUGUUUGCACUGGACGGAUGCUCCCCAAAGGCAUUCUUUGUGUGCACAUCUUUGUUCCAUCUUUGUUUGUCUUUGUUCCAUCCUUGAGGCCAGCUCUCACUGAUAAUAAGCUCUGGCAGUGUCUAAUAAAUAUAUUACAUAUUUGUUAAAACAAUGAGGGUUUUAGUCUCAAAAAACAUUCAUUAUCAUAAGCUUUAUGAUUUAUGUAUUUGUAUUUUUUUCCCCUUUCUUUUGAGGGACCAUUUUUUUAAAUGGGAUCUCACAAUGUAGUCCUGGUUGAUUUGAAAUUCAUUGUGUAGACCAGGCAGAACUUGAAUUCACAGAGGUCUACCUGCCUCUGCCUCCUGAGUAUUGGGAUUACAAGUGUGUACCACUGUGACUGGCUUGGGAGAAAUCCAUUUAAGACCUUCGUGGAUGCCUGAAACUGUGAUAAAAUGGAAUAUGCAGCCUGUGUGCCCCCAUGAUGACAUUUGAUCUAUUGAUUAAAUGUGGUAAAGAGUAAUAAGAGAGGACAGCUGUAACAAUGCACACUAAUCCAAGCUGUAUGAGUGUGAUCUCCACCCGUCUCUCUCGCUGCACACACCCUUCCUAUGCCUCAUCAGGUGCCCGCAAGAUGAGAUGAAAUGACACAGAGCCAUUUGAACACAAGUGCUGAGCUGUCCUCACUGUAGAUGUCAUGGGCCAGGUGAUCACAUGGCUACCCAGCAGGUAGUAGACACAACAAGGAUAGCUGGUUCGAGGAUGGUUCGUGACUGGCAGGAUGGAGUAAGAUUUCCUCAGACUAUUCAGAAACGCAUGCAACGUAAAACUUGUGAGGUUUUUCUUUCUAGCGUUUUCCAUUUGAAAUUCGAUCACGGGUAACUGACACCAGGAAAAGCAAAAGUUGCACACCAGGGGAGUGUAGUCUCGUUCAGCUUCCUAGCAGAUGUACGAAUCUCUAGUAGCAAGUGGCUUUGCCAUGCGUGACUGGAGGUUGCUUGGACAUCCAGCAAUGGGGAACUUACUGUCUAUGGACAAACACCUUGCAGCUCGGACCUCCCUGCUGGACUGACGGUCCUGAGAGUCUGCGUGAGCCACAGAGCCACCCAGAAAGGGUCCUAUGCUUUAGGCCAUCCUUCCAUGCCUCUCCGUCAUCUGAAUCUCUUGGCCUUUGCAGAAACAGGGGUAGUGCAAAAUGUGUCUCCAGGCAGCUUUGUGAAGUUUCAUGAAUAUCACUGGGGGUGGGGCGAGGUGGAAAAUGAGCCGAGAGAAUCUGGCUAUUAAACACAUUACCUGCAUUUAUGGUUCUCGUGCCCCAAGGCCUGGGAUAAAUCGGAGAAGGAAAAACAUUCCACUCUGGCUCUCAGUGACCCCUGAAGGAAACCCCCCAUGGAGUCGUUUAGGAUAGUAAUUUGAGCAUAGACUCCAGCAUGCCGCUCCUAGCCUUCCCUCCAUAAACUCAGGAGCCUCAUGAUAAUCGGCACCAAAGUGCUUGAAAAUGUGGCCCAGAACCCUUCCAGAUGAGGGUCGGGCUCAAAGAAAUAAAAAGUUAAGGGCGCGUUGCUAUGGCGUUAACAUUGAGGGAGUGUGCACGGACUUCAAACUGUGCGCUGAAAGUAUGUUCUUUCUGUGUGCCCUGCCCAUGAAACGCUAAGCCAGCAAAACCAUUAAAACGUCAGACAGGCAGCCAGGUGGGAGAAACGCAUGUUUAAUGAUAAGCAUGUAGCCCAUGGUAAUUGUGUCCCCUGAAAAGUUAAAGAUGGGGGAAAGAGAGAAAUUGAGAAGAAAGCAUGCGGGGUGGGGGAGUGUGGAGGGGUGAGCGCGCUGGGCUCCUUCUGCCCUAUGCUGAGCAGGCCGCCCUCCUUACCUAGCAAAGCUCACAAAACCAUCUCCACUCCUUCCCUUUCUUUCACUCUCUGCAGUAAGUCCUGAGUCCCAAAUUACUUUCAAAAUCCUGGGCUGAAUCAUACAAAGUUGCCAAAGCUUCUUUGGUCUACAAAAAGUGUCAGCUAUGUGGUUCAAUUUAAUUAGGUCUCAGACUAGCUCCUUUGUCCGUGUCCGCCAUCACUGUCUUGGCGCAUUGUUCUCUUACAAAGUGAGCUUAGGACACAACUGCACACACACAGGCUAGUGCUGCUGUGAGGGAGACACAGGUCUGCAGAAGGUGGCAUUCUGGUUUUCAGUUCCUUCCUCCACACUGGAAAGAACAGAGUUCUUGCAGCAUGCUGCUGCCGGCCUCUCUGGGGGCCUUUCUGAAGGACAGUGCUUGUUUUGCCUAACAGAUCUCAAGUGAGAAGCUGUGAGCUGAGCAAGUUCAUCAGACUCAGGGCAAGAGACUGCAGGUGGAGAAGCUGUGUCCCCUAAGGAGAAGCUGGGGUGAGAAUUUAAGGGAGGCAUUGCAAAGGGUGACACAGUGGCUGGAGAGGUGGCUCAGUGCUUAAGAGCACUCCAGAGGUCCAGAGUGCCGUUUCCAGGACCCACAACGGCCUGUACUCUAGGGGAUCUAAUGCCCUCUUCUGGCCUUUGUAGGCAUACACACACACACACACACACACAUAUACACACACACAUACACUGCAUUUUUGUAAAGGAGGAAGGAAGGAAAGAAGGAAAGAAGGAAAGAAGGAAGGAAGGAAGGAAGGAAGGAAGGAGGAGAAAAAAGUCACAUAAACCCCCGAAACACAUGUUUGGAGACAUUAAGAUUGCUCCUCAGGCUGGUCCCCUAACUCAGAAAAUUACUAAAAGACAUCCUUUGCUAAAGAAGUCCUUUGCAAAGGUUGGCCGUCAUGGCUGUGUUUUGUUUGUUUGUUGGUUGGCUUGUUUUUUUGUUUUAUCAAGUAUCUGAUUUUCAACAACAAAGUCAUACUAUGUACAAAGAAAUGGAAAACACAGCCCACCAAAGGAUAAAAAUAAAGUAACACAACUUC